AUGAUGAUCUGGAUCAGGUCAAACUCUUAAUACCGUUGUUGAAGCUUUUAACAUUUGGUUGUGGUCAGGUUGUUGAAUGUGGUUGUUGCUAUCAACAUGAUGCAAGAUGAAAUAAUCAAGAUUACUACCGAUGAUUUGUUACAAGCUGCACAAAUAGAAGUAAGAUGGAUGCUAGAUAGAAGAGAGAGAAGCCCUGAGAUUUAGAAGCAAGUAGCUAUAAAUGAAGCCGCAAUGGCUAUAGUUGCUGUCAAUUUUCCAGAUCACUAAAUUUAAGGAAGGAAUGUUGAGCCGGCAGUCUCUCUUGGAUCACAUCACUGUUCAACUUGCACCGCGUGCAGCGGAUGAGCUCUAGUAUGGGAAAGAUCAGGUUUUUCUAAUUUUUUGCCAUAAUGCCUAAGAAGUGUGGCAACGUUGUUCAUUUGUGUGAUGAAAACUGAUGUAAAGCAUUGUAGAGUUGAUUUUGUCUCUCACCGAACUAUAUUAAUUCCGUGGACUGUAGAGAGUUGGUAAAAAUCAUGAUUUUUUCUUGUGAAAUUUAUACAGGUAUGCCUUUGGGACUACUUCAAUAAGAAGAAGCAAACUAUAUUAAUUCCAUGGAGAAGAUGGUGCUAUUCUUGUCCCUGGUGGUGUAGUUAGUAUAAAAUUGGGCGAUAUUAAGAAUCUAGUGCUUAUAUGGUGGGAGAAUUGUUAGACAUAAAUGUAUGUGAUAUUUAUGAAUAUUUGGAUAACAAUGUAUGAAUAUUUUGAAUGUUAUAUAAUACAUGUUAUCGAUGGCAA